rnacentral:tRNA from 1 species
UAUAUAAAAGUGUUUUUUGCACGUUUACUUUUGAUGUAGGCAGUUAUGGUUAAAUUCAUAUUGUAUAA